GACGAACGCUGACGGCGUGCUUAACACAUGCAAGUCGAACGAUGAACCCGGAGCUUGCUCUGGGGGAUUAGUGGCGAACGGGUGAGCAACACGUGAGUAACCUGCCCUGGACUCUGGGAUAAGCGUUGGAAACGACAUCUAAUACCGGAUAGGACCUCGGAUCGCAUGAUCUGGGGUGGAAAGUUUUUUCGGUCUGGGAUGGACUCGCGGCCUAUCAGCUUGUUGGUGAGGUAACGGCUCACCAAGGCGUCGACGGGUAGCCGGCCUGAGAGGGUGACCGGCCACACUGGGACUGAGACACGGCCCAGACUCCUACGGGAGGCAGCAGUGGGGAAUAUUGCACAAUGGGCGAAAGCCUGAUGCAGCAACGCCGCGUGCGGGAUGACGGCCUUCGGGUUGUAAACCGCUUUUAGUAGGGAAGAAGGGCUUCGGCUUGACGGUACCUGCAGAAAAAGGACCGGCUAACUACGUGCCAGCAGCCGCCGUAAAAC
rnacentral:rRNA from 1 species